GAUCCUGCUACCCACACACAGAAUAGAGGCUUGCUUCCAUUCCAGGAAGGCUGAUCAGAGAGUAGGACAGCAGGCAGCUCAAGGAAGGGUGGUGAAAUUCAGCUUCUAAUUAUUAGAUUAAAGCCUUAAAGCAGUUGUCAUGUAUGAAGGAACAAAGUGGAAUUUGGCAAACGGGAAGGGAAAAAAACAAAUCUUCUUGCAUGGCUAGUUUGAGUUAGAAAGGACAAUCGAAGGUUUAACUACUGCAUGGGGCUGGGGUAAGUAGAAUGUAAGGCAAGAUAAGAAAAGGAACUCGGCGAAACUCCAUUAUCAGCAGGGAUCAGUACAAGGAACUGGCCAAAGCGGAGUGACUCUGAAAAGCAGCAGUGGGGUGAAAAGGGCAGAGUGAUGAAGACGCCGAGCCUUCAUCCAGCGACCACCAGGAGGAGCUACAACGCAUGCCCCGGGGGAGGGACCGUAUACAAAGGAAUUCCCAGGAAAUGAUGAAUAUGUAGAUGGGUCCCGGGAAACCUGCCGAAUAUGUAUAAGCUUGGCUUUUAAAUAUCUAACAUUUCUGCCCAUGGUUAUGCGAGUUUGGUAGGGCGGUGACCCCCCUCGCAUCCGGUGUGGGCGCAGCACCGUAAUAAACAUACCCGCUUUAGAACCUAAUCUCGGGUGAUGGAGUUUGAUUCCGCAAAUCAGUUUGGCACCCCAGAUGGGACCUUCUCUGCUCGGCUGCAGGACCAGCUGAGUUGGGGGAUGCCUUUGGUGUGCCCUGAGGAUUCUCGGAAGGACUCCCUUCCUCACCGAAUCACUGCGGGGACUGACAAGGACCAUCCAUUGAUGGACCAGCAGGGAUCAGUACAAGGAACCAGACGAAGCCGGAGUGACUCUGAAAAGCAGCAGUGGGGUGAAAAGGGCAGAGUGAUGAAGACGCCGAGCCUUCAUCCAACGACCACCAGGAGGAGCUACAACACAUGCCCCAGGGGGAGGGACCGUAUACAAAGGAAUUCCCAGGAAAUGAUGAAUAUGUAGAUGGGUCCCGGGAAACCUGCUGAAUAUGUAUAAGCUUGGCUUUUAAAUAUCUAACAUUUCUGCCCAUGGUUAUGUGAGUUUGGUAGGGCAGCGACCCCCCUCGUAUCCGUUGUGGGCGCAGCACCAUAAUAAACAUACCCGCUUUAUAACUUAA